ACGGAGGCAGCAGUGGGGAAUCUUCCGCAAUGGACGAAAGUCUGACGGAGCAACGCCGCGUGAGUGAUGAAGGCCUUCGGGUUGUAAAGCUCUGUUAUCAGGGAAGAACACUUUCUAUGUGAACAAUGUAGAGAGUUGACGGUACCUGAGGAGGAAGCCACGGCUAACUACGUGCCAGCAGCCGCGGUAAUACGUAGGUGGCGAGCGUUGUCCGGAAUUAUUGGGCGUAAAGCGCGCGUAGGCGGGACCAUAAGUCCACUUUAAAAGUGCGGGGCUCAACCCCGUGAUGGGGUGGAAACUGUGGUUCUUGAGUGCCGGAGAGGAAAGCGGAAUUCCCAGUGUAGCGGUGAAAUGCGUAGAUAUUGGGAGGAACACCAGUGGCGAAGGCGGCUUUCUGGACGGUGUCUGACGCUGAGGCGCGAAAGCCAGGGGAGCGAACGGGAUUAGAUACCCGUGUAGUCCU
rnacentral:rRNA from 1 species